GUGGAGCAACUGCCUCUAUGCCAGUCUAGCUUCAGUUUAGAUCCCUCUGUAGAGAUGGGGUUCCACUCUUCUUGUACAUGGAACCUUGAGAAGUUCUCUACUUCCUGAACUCAUCUCCUUCUAGAAGGUUCUAUAGGAAUAUGGAGUUGGGAGAACGCAGGACCAGUGACCUCAGGAAGGCAGGAGGCACUCUUGUAGGGAGAGACUGGAACUGUUAGCUCUGCAAAAGCCUAAUUCUACAAAGAUCAUCUCAUUUCCGUAGAAAAAAAUGGAGUCACUGCUGUAGCAUCAGGCAUCUUUGCUGGAUGUCAUCUUCCUGUGUCCGCACAUGCCUGGCACGUACUCACAUUCAGUCUUCAUAGGCACUAUACAUAUAAGGCCAUGCUAAAGGUGAAAAACGGGUUUAGAAGUGACUAUCACCUUUCUCAGCAACAGUGGAGUCAGAAUUUGAACUUCGGACUCAAAGACUACCCAUUCCCACUGCAAUAUCUCCCUGGCAUGGAGCCGUGAAGCCUCAGUUGUUUAAUGGGAAUUAGAAAUUACUCUCAACAUUUAGAAAUGCCAAGAUCAAAUGACACAAGCAUUUAACACAGUGGUUCUUAAGCUGUGGGCUGUGACCUCUAUGGGGGUCAUAUAUCAGAUAUCCUGCAUAUCAGGUAUUUGCAUUAUGAUUCAUAACAGCAGCAAAAUUGUGGUUACUAAAUAGCAAUGAGUUGAUUUUAUAAUUGGGGUAACCACAAAUAUAAAGAACUGUAUUAAAGGGUCACAAC
rnacentral:lncRNA from 1 species